CCUACGGGAGACAGCAGUGGGGAAUAUUGGACAAUGGGGAAAACCUGAUCCAGCGACGCCGCGGGAGUGAAGAAGUAUUUCGGUACGGAAAGCGCUAUCAGCAGGAAAGAAAAUGACGGGACCUGAAUAAGAAGCCCCGGCUAACUACGUGCCAGCAGCCGGGGGAAUACGUAGGGGGCAAGAGUUAACCGGAUGUACUGGGUGUAAAGGGAGCGUAGACGGCAGCGCAAGUCUGGAGUGAAAUGCCGGGGCCCAACCCCGGAACUGCUCUGGAAACUGUGAAGCUGGAGUGCAGGAGAGGUAAGCGGAAUUCCUGGUGUAGCGGUGAAAUGCGUAGAUAGCAGGAGGAACACCGGCGGCGAAGGCGGCUUACUGGACUGUAACUGACGUUGAGGCUCGAAGGCGUGGGGAGCAAACAGGAUUAGAUACCCCAGUAGUC
rnacentral:rRNA from 1 species